UAUUUCAAUUUUUGUUGCUUCAUAUUUUGAUUAUAUAUAUCUCCCAACUAAGUUAAGUUCUCAAUUCAACUACUUUGCUUUGCAUUCUCAUCUAACUAAUUAGAAGAGGGAUAUUCUAAUCAUGACCAGCUUAUCCGAAUGUAACGAGAGGGCGUAAUUAAUCGGAUACAUGUAGGUAUCUGGGAAGCAUGAAUCCUUUAAUCUUUGAUUCUUUUAAGCAUUAAUAAAUAGCUUGCUUUUUUUAAUUUACUUACUUAUAUUUCAUUUUAUUUUAUUUUAUUUUCGUUUUAUCCCUUAUUCAUUUUUCGGAAAAACAGGUGCAUAAUAGAAUAGUCUUCUAGGUAGAAGAUGAUAGAGAAAUGAGAAAGAUUGAAAAAGAGGGUUUAUAUUGAAAUUACUAUAGGUAGAAGAUAAAUCGGAUAUAAUUAUUCUCUUAAUUAGUAAAUUUUAUUUCGUUCGUAUUUUUCAUAAUUUUUUUUUUCUCUUCGUGUUGUAUCAGUUUUUGCCGAGGUGAUGGAUUUACAAUAAAAACCUGAUUUGAUGCUUUCGUUGUAGAAUCCUAACAAUCGGUACCAAAGCGAGUACCGGAUUUAUAACAGUCGAUAUCAGAGCCCAAAAUCAAGUAUCAGAACGAGUACUGAAUUCCCAACAUAUAGACGACCAAUUAUAGGAAAAGAAUAAACAAAUUAAUAGAACAGGAGGGCAUUGUGUAGCCUUAUUGUAAGAUUUUUGUUUUGUUAAAUAAAAUUUCUACAUAAAUUAGUGUAGGAAUGAAUGUAGAUUGCUUACAAUCCUCAUAUCCAAGAUGUUUGUUUGAUAACAAAAAUAAAAAUAAACACUUACAAAUAAUUUUUUUAUUUUUUUCAGGAUAAUCUUCAAUUUGACCAGUGUGAUCUAGCGCAAUUUUCUUUUACCAAGCUGUAAAUUCAAAAAACUACAUUUAAUUAUCUUGUGAUUUUAUUUUUAUUUUGCCAUAAAGAACUAUUGUUAAAAAGAGUAGAAAAGUGAUACUUUAUGCAAAUCAUAGAGUGAUAAAAUACAGAUUAGAAAAUAAUAAAAUAUGCCACAUAGUUUGCAAAAUUAAUUACCAUCACUUUAUUAUCCGGCGUGUUUACCAACAGUUCAUUAUGGUGAAACAAAAAUAGAAAACUACAAGUUAGUACCUUGCUGCUUCAAUCUGAAGCUUUGAAGCUGAAACAAAAACAAACUGCAUUAAUAUCUGUUGGAACACUUUAUUAGUAAAAUUAAUUUUUAGUCAUCGACCACUAUUUGUCUCAAGGAGUUACAUCCUUUCAUAUUCUAUACAUUCCUGGUGACCUUCUAUAACCUAUACCAUUUCAAUUUCCAAAUCUCAUAAUUUAUGUAUUUUCAUUCCUAUAACUCUUAACCUUUCAAUUAGCUUUUAAUUGUUGACAACUUACUUCUUGUAACUCCAAAAAAUAGUAUUCUUCAAGAGUUGUACUGGAUAUUGCUUUUUUUUGAGAAAGAGGUAGCAAGCUACCUGCUUCAUUCAUUAAGCGAAAUGAAUUUAGCGUACAUAAUGGAGACAGCUAAGGCCCCCUACCGAAACCGGAAAACAACAAAAUAAUAAAUGCAGUAUAGAUAAGUAAACAACAACAAAAGAACUAUAAAAGCAGUAUAGAUAAGUAAACGAAAGCUCGACUCGAGAUAUUAAAGAACGGUUACGGGACAAUUGCCUCGGUCCAAGUCUUCGUUAGCGCAACUAUCCGCCCAAUUGCACGGUUAGCGUCCGGAGUGUCCUCAUUGAAGACGAUCUUGUUGCGCUCCGUCCAAACUACCCACCAGAUUGCUGCCAACCGUUGUACUGGAUAUUGCUGUGUCUUUCCCUCAACCAUCGGCCUAUUUCUAUAGCCCAAUUAUUGAAUGAUUGGUGUGUAAAAUUAUUAUUGACUGAUUCAAAUCAAAUAUAUUGCUGUAUCUUUGUAGUAUCCUAGGUAGAAUAGGGAGUUGGUAAAAGGGCCUUUUGGUCUUUUGCCAAUUUUUAUCAAUUCUACCGCCUUAAUUAGAGGUGGCAGGCAGUGGAGGAGCUUUGGAGGGUUGCUAAUUUUUUUUUUUUUUCUUUCUUUUCUCUUUCUCUAGACUUUGAACGUGAGUUGGGUGAAGACUUCGGUUGGGGUUGGGAUCGACGUCGACUUCGCGCCAGCGAGCCGUUUGAGCCUACGUGCGUCGUGGUAAGCGCCGUUGGAGGCCGGGCGAGCGCGGGAUUUCUUCUCCUAUCGACUUCUCGCCGUUGUUGGAUUAGCGUUCGAGGGUGGUACCCACUGAGAACUACUUUUUUUGUAGUAGUUCUCACGCCCAGUUGUUACCGUUUGUUUUGUAAAGCCGUCGUCUGCGGCUGCUGCUGCUGCUGCUGAUCUUGAUCGUGGUAAGUGCGUCGCGAGUUAGAGCCCUACCAGACGAGCCAGAGCUAGUGGAGUACCAGUUACAGGUUGUUGUAGUUUUUCAGUUCGUAUACAUACUAUUGCUGUACCUCGCUGGGCGAGCUGUUUGUAUACCUGGAUGUUUGUAUGUAAAGUGAACUUCAGUUUUAUAUAUCUCAUUUUUUUUAGCAGCUCUAUACUACUAGUUGUAGUAUUGUAUGAUUAUAGGAACAGCUAUCGCUUCAUAUAUAGGAAAAUUUUUUUGUA